CAUUUGGGCACACCCAUACCGAGCUUUCCUCCGUAUUCACAUCAGAAUAAACUUGAGAGUUACAUCAUCUCUCACGGUGACUAGAGUUCCUGCAAUCCUUAUAACUCUCACCGUUCCUACAUCUCAAGAGUUCCAUCAUCUUUCGCGGUGCCUAGAGUUCCUACAGUCCCUAUAGCUCUCACCGUUCCUACAUCUCUAAGAAUUUCAUCAUCUUUCGCGGUGCCUAGAGUUCCUACAGUCCCUAUAGCUCUCACCGUUCCUACAUCUCUAAGAAUUUCAUCAUCUUUCGCGGUGCCUAGAGUUCCUACAGUCCCUAUAGCUCUCACCGUUCCUACAUCUCAAGAGUUCCAUCAUCUUUCGCGGUGCCUAGAGUUCCUACAGUCCCUAUAGCUCUCACCGUUCCUACAUCUCUAAGAAUUUCAUCAUCUUUCGCGGUGCCCAGAGUUCCUACAGUCCCUAUAACUCUCACCGUUCCUACAUCUCUAAGAAUUCCAUCAUCUUUCGCGGUGCCUAGAAUUCCUACAGUCCCUAUAGCUCUCACCGUUCCUACAUCUCUAGGAAUUUCAUCAUUUUUCGCGGUGCCUAGAGUUCCUACAGUCCCUAUAACUCUCACCGUUCCUAUAUCUCUCAGAGUUCCUUCAGCUCUCACGGUGCCUAGAGUUCCUGCAAUCCCUAUAACUCUCACUGUUCCUAUACCUCUCAGAGUUAUCCUAACCGAAAUACGGGGAUCGAACUAUUCGUGGUGUCGAUUAUUCUAAUCGUAACAGGAAUUUACGACUCCCGUUGACGCGUAUUCUAACGACCGCGUCUCCCCGCGAUAGCUCGAAAGUACAUUGGGCAUAUAUUUUUUUGUGCCGUACAGUUCCAACGACAUGCAUCCUAAAAUUUAAAAAUUUCACUGCUAACUGAUAGCUCGUAUAAAAGUUGUUGACGGACAAAGCUCGUCCUUCAUUUAGCAAUUUAUCUGCAAGUUCAAUGCAGACGUUUUCAGCCAUGCUAACUUGCUUACUUCCGGUGAUUUCUCGUCUAGA
rnacentral:misc_RNA from 1 species